AACGAACGCUGGCGGCAUGCCUAACACAUGCAAGUCGAACGAGACCUUCGGGUCUAGUGGCGCACGGGGGCGUAACGCGUGGGAACCUGCCCUUAGGUUCGGAAUAACUCCCCGAAAGGGGUGCUAAUACCGGAUAAUGUCUUCGGACCAAAGAUUUAUCGCCGUUGGAUGGGCCCGCGUUGGAUUAGCUAGUUGGUAGGGUAAAAGCCUACCAAGGCGACGAUCCAUAGCUGGUCUGAGAGGAUGAUCAGCCACACUGGGAAUGAGACACGGCCCAGACUCCUACGGGAGGCAGCAGUGGGGAAUAUUGGACAAUGGGCGAAAGCCUGAUCCAGCAAUGCCGCGUGAGUGAUGAAGGCCUUAGGGUUGUAAAGCUCUUUUACCCGGGAUGAUAAUGACAGUACCGGGAGAAUAAGCACCGGCUAACUCCGUG
rnacentral:rRNA from 1 species